GUGAAGGCGGUUGGAGCUUAGUGUGAGAGAAGCUGAAUGGAUUUUUUUUUAGUGAGGAGUUGGAUUCAAAAUGAAGCGGUUUCUUUAAUGCAACUGAUUGAUUGAUUGAUUGAAUGAGUGUGAAAUUCUUCCCCAGAAUAUUUUGAAUCUCAGUGAGGGUACUGACAGAUAUUCUUCAAGGGGAACUGCAGCUCACAAAGUAUUCUGUGCAAAAACAGAAUUACCUGGAAAAACUCAGCAGGUCUGGCAGCAUCGGCGGAGAAGAAAAGAGUUGACGUUUCGAGUCCUCAUGACCCUUCGACAGAACUUGCGUUCGAGUCCAAGAAAGAGUUGAAAUAUAAGCUGGUUUAAGAUCAGGGGCCUAAGGACAAUUGUAGAAUUGCCAUCUGAUACUGCUGGAUAUCUCAUCACGUGGUGUAGAUUGAACCUGGUCUCUGGCUGAAUUCCAUACUGUUAUAUUUUUCCAACUGAAAUGUCAAAGGAGCU